CGGGAACGAUCCUGAGAGCAGCGGGAAGGAACUGGGAGCGCUUUCCCUGCCGGGGCCGCUCUUACUGGGAGCACUGGGAGGGAACUGGGAGCAAACAGCGCCCGGACGGGGCUGCGGCCGGAGGGGACACUGUGGGCUGGGCAGCGGGGACACCGGAAGAGAGGAAAGGCACCGAACAGCGGGGACACGGACCAGGGGGUGACACCGAGCAAGGGGAGCACCACACCGAGGUGACACCGGUGGGUGUGCGCAGAGACCGAGUGGCUGCUGAGUCGUGGCACAGCACGGCCGAGGCAGCUUCGGUGCCGGUAGUGGAGGAGGAGCUGUGGUGCUGGCUCAGGUAAUUCCUCUUGAGCCUCUGUGACAAGUACCAGGCCCGCGGCAGGCAGCCCGUGAAACUGGCGCUGGAGCUCGCCAAGAUCAUCCUUGUCACUGUGCAGGUGACACCACAGGGACAGCGAGCUGGGACAGUGGGGAUGGCUGGUGGCGACACUGGGGAUGGCAGCAUGAGGGGCUGGGAUACCAGGGAGGGAGCACGGGGACAUGGGGACACUUUGACAGGUAUGCUGGGGUGUCCUGGGACAAAGCAUUGGCAGUAUGACUGUGGUGAGAAAGGGGCUGAUGGCAGUGGUGGCCUUUGUCCCAAACCAUGGGGUGACACUGUUUUGGCGUGAAACACGGUGGUGUCACCAGGGUGGGACAGGGCCUGACCAUGGAGGACUUUGCUCCCAAGAAUGGGGUGACACCAUUUGAGGACAAAACACACCAUUGUCACCAUGAUAGAACCGGUCAUGACAGAGGUGGUGGCCUUUGUCACCAAGCUGGUCCUGUUCAGGCUCAUCAACCAGCUGGUGGUGGCCUUCAAGGAGGACAACACAGUGACCUUCAAGCACCUGUUCCUCAAGGGCUACGAGGACGGCACUAAUGACACCCAGGCCAUCUACACCCAUGGGGACCACCUGGAGCACUGACCUUUGUCUUUGAGAAGGUGGCAUGGGGACACUGGGAAGGGUUGGGGACAUCAGGGGAGUUGGGGACAUUGUGGGGCUUGAGGACAAGGGGACCUCCUGGAGCAUGUGGCCUAUGCCCUUGAGAAGGUGGCACAGGGACACCAGGCAGGGUUGGGGUCACUGGCAGGGGUUGGGGAUACAGUGGUGGUUUGGGGACAUGGAGGUUCUCAGGGCUGUGGAGAUGACUGGGGACACCAGGGUGAUUUGGGGACACUGAGGUACCACAGGGCCACCUCCAGCCCCGUGUCCCUGUCCCCACAGUAUUUGGCUGUCUCCAACAAGACCCUUGGCCACCAUGUUUUGGGAACAGAGAUGUAUUUGGGACAUGGAGAUAUUUGAGUAAACGGGGAUUAUGUGGGACUAUCAAGGUGCCACCACCAGCACUGCUGUCCCUGUCCCCACAGUACCUGGCUGUCCCCAAUGAGACCUUUGGCCACCACACCUAUGGCUGAGGACAUGGAGAUGUUUUGGCACUAUGGGGUGGUUUGGGGCCAUCAAGGUGCCCCAGGGCCACCUCCAGCCUUUGUGUCCCUGUCCCUGUAGUACCUGGCUGUUCCCAGUGGGACGCUGGGCCACUGUUUCUAUGAAUACAGACAUGAACAUGGUUUGGGGACCCAGAGAUGUUUGGGGUCAUGUAGAUCUUUUGGGGGUAUGGGGUGGAUUGGGGACACUGAGGUGCCCCAGUGCCACCCCCAGCUGUGUCCCUGUCCCUGUAGUACCUGGCUUUCCACAAUGGGACCCUGGGCCACUAUGCCCAUGGUGGCACCAGGGGUGGCACCAGGCUCCAGCUGUGCCAGCACUUCUUCCACGGGUUGGACAUCGAGCCCAGCAACGACACCUUCAACUCAACCCCACCGUCGUCACUGGGGGUUCGGGUGUGGGGUUUGGGGAUGGGGAUUUGGGGUGCAGGGUGCUGGGUUUGAGAUUUGAGGUUUGGCUUUGGGGUUUGGCAUUUGAGGUAUAGGUUUGGGGUUUGGGAAUUGGGGUUUGGGAUGGUCCCACGGGUUUGGGGUUUACGAUUUGACACUUGGGGUUUGGGAUGGUCUUAGGGUGUUUGGGGGUUUGAGAUUCAGGCAUUCGGAUGGUCUCAGGGGAUUUGGAAUGGUCCCAGGUGAUUUGAUAUUUGGGGUUUGGGAAGGUCUCAGGGGAUUUGGGAGUUGGGAUGGUCUCAGAGGAUUUGGGAUGCUCUCAGGGCAUUAGGGGUGGUCCAAGAGGUUUGGGAGCUGGGAUUUGGGGUUAGGGUUUGGAUUUGAGGUGCAGGGUUUGGCAUAGUCCCUGGGCAUUUGGGGAUUGGGAUUUGGGAUGUUGCCUGGCAUUUGGCAGCUGGGAUUUGGGGUUUGGAUGUGGGAGCUGGGAGUUGGGAUUUGGGAUGGUCCUGAAGCAUUCAGAAUGGUCCCAGGGCAUUUGGGAUUCAGGAUUUGGGAAGUCUCAGGGGCUUUGGACUUCCGGCAUUCCCUGACCCCAAUCCCAACCCCACAGAGAUCCUGAGAGUACACCCUGGGGCCCCCCAGCUGCAGGUGCUGGAUGGCACUAAUGGCAACUUCACCCUCCAAUUCCACAUGUAAAUCCCAAAACCCCCCAAAAUUCCUGAUAAUCCCACUUAUGGGUGUUUCCCAUCCCUAAAAUCCCAGUGUGGGAUUUGUGUUCACUUUUCCCAGAUUUCUGCGUGGCGUUUUGGGGUGGAAUUUUCCCUUUCCCAUGGUUAUUUUUUUGGAAAUUUUGUGGCCAAGUUUUCCCUUUUCCAUUUGUUUUUUGAGGAUUUUGGUGCAGAAUUUUUCCUUUUCUAGGUUUUUUGGGGGAGUUUGGGAACUCCUGGGGUUUUUUUGGGGGGAGAUUUUUUUUAAUUAUUAUUAUUGCAUUCCCACUUUUUGGGGGGGAUUUUGGUGUGAAAUUUGAAUUUCUGGGGGAUUUUAGCAUGGAAUUUUUCCUUUUUCUGGUGUUUUUUUUGGGACUUUGAGAACUCAUGGGAUUUUUUUGGGAUUUUGGAGCAGAUUUGUUCCCUUUACUGUUGUUCCUUUGGGGAUUUUGGGGAGAAAUUUUCCUCUUUCUUUGGUUUAUUUUGGGAUUUUGAGGUGGAAUUUUUUCAUUUUUUGGGGCAAUUUCAGGGAUAUGGGGUGGUUUUUUUUUUAUUUUGGGGCCUCCUGGAUUGUUUUUUGUCCCCUCAGGCUGAUCAGUGUCACUGUGGAGUUCCAGCUCAUGGCCAUGAACAUCCAAACACUGCUGAACCAUGAAAUCCCUGACUGAUACACCUUCAGUGUCACCGUGAGUGUCCCUAAGUGUCCCCGAGUGUCUGCAAAUAUCCUAAAGUCCCUAAUAAAUAUCCUAUCCCACUCAUGUCCCCCUUG